UUCGUUGUCUAAGAUGAAGUUGGACUU
rnacentral:sRNA from 1 species